rnacentral:rRNA from 1 species
CCUACGGGAGGCAGCAGUGAGGAAUAUUGGUCAAUGGGCUUACGCCUGAACCAGCCAAGUCGCGUGAGGGAAGACUGCCCUAUGGGUUGUAAACCUCUUUUGUCAGGGAGCAAUUGGCGCUACGUGUAGCGUUAUCGAGAGUACCUGAAGAAAAAGCAUCGGCUAACUCCGUGUCAGCAGCCGCGGUCAUACGGAGGAUGCGAGCGUUAUCCGGAUUUUUUGGGUUUAAAGGGUGCGUAGGCGGAAUGCCAAGUCAGCGGUAAAAGCGCGGGGCUCAACCUCGCUACGCCGUUGAAACUGGCGAUCUUGAGGUGGCGAGAAGUAUGCGGAAUGCGUGGGGUAGCGGUGAAAUGCAUAGAUAUCACGCAGAACUCCGAUUGCGAAGGCAGCAUACCGGCGCCCAACUGACGCUGAAGCACGAAAGCGUGGGUAUCGAACAGGAUUAGAUACCCGGGUAGUC